CGCGGGAGAAGUUACGGUCGCGCGCCCAGGCCCGCUCGCCCCUCGGGGCAACGCGGGUGAGGACGUGAGGAAAGUCCGGGCACCGCAGGGCAGGAUGCCAGCUAACGGCUGGUCAGCGAGCACACGGCCCGCCACGCCGAACGUACGGGCGGGCACGCGCGAAGUUGAAGGACAGUGCCACAGAAACCAGACCGCCCGCCCCAUCACGCGUGUUCCGGACGCGGGGCGAGUAAGGGUGAAACGGUGCGGUAAGAGCGCACCAGGCCCCACGGCAACGCGGGGCGCUGGUAAACCCCAUCCGGUGCAAGGCCCGACAGCGGGGGAGGAACGGCCCGUUCCCCUGAUCCCCAGGAUGGCCGCUAGAGCCGCGCGGCGACGCGCGCCCCAGAGAGAUGACCGUGACCCACCCGAACGGUGGGGACAGAACCCGGCUUACUCCCUCCCGCACCCA
rnacentral:RNase_P_RNA from 2 species